rnacentral:lncRNA from 1 species
CCUUCAGGACAGUUUUAUAAUUGAGAAUAGAUUAAUAUCCAGUGUUUACACGAUUAUGAUGAAGCAACUAUUAUUCCUAGCCUAGUCAUGUUAUGUAAUUACAUUUCUUACAGAGCUCCAAUAUUUUCUCCCCUUUUUUUGAGACAAGGUCUUGCACUCUGUCUCAAAACAAUAAAAAAUACGAAACACAAAAAUUAGCUGGGCGUGGUGUUGGGAACUUGUAAUCCCAGCUACUUGGGAAGCUGAGGCAGGAGAAUAGCUUGAACCCAGGAGGUGAAGGUUGCAGUGAGCCAAGAUCACACCAUUGCACUCCAGCCUGGGCAACAGAGCAAGACUCCAUCUCAAAAAAAAAAAAAGUAAAAAGAUAACCUACAGAAUGGGAGAAAAUAUUUGCAAGUCUUAUGAUAAGGGCUUAGUAUCCUGAACAUAUAAAGAGCUCCUACAACUCAACAAAAAGACAACCCAAUUUAAAAACAGGAGAUGGAUUCUCCCAAAAAAUAACCAACAGGCAUAUGAAAAGAUGGUCACUCAACAUCACCAAUGAUUACAGAAAGGCAAAUCAAAACCAUAAUGAGACACCUCUUCAUACACACUAGCAUGGCUAUAAUAAUUUAAAACAAGAAAAUAGCAAGUGUUGAUAAGGACCUGGAGAAACUGGAACCCUCGGGCACUGUUGGUGAGAAUGGAAAUCGGUGUGACCAGUAUGGAACACAGCUUGAUGGUUCCUCAAAAAAUAAACAUGGACGCCGGGCGCAGUGGCUCACGCCUGUCAUCCCAGCACUUUGGGAGGCUGAGGCAGGUGGAUCACCUGAGGUCAGGAGUUCAAGACCAGCCUGGCCAACAUGGUAAAACCCUGUCUCUACAAAAAUACAAAAAUUAGCCAGGCACAGUGGUGCACACUUGUAAUCCUGGCUACUCGGGAGGCUGAGGCAGGAGAAUCGCUUGAACCCAGGAGGUGGAGGUUGCAGUGAGCCGAGAUUGUGCCAUUGUACUCCAGCCUGGCAACAGAGCAAGACUCCAUCUCAAAAAAAAAAAAAAAAAAAAAUUAAACAUGGAGUUACCACAUUAACCAGCAAUGCCACUCCUGGGUACACACCCAAGAAAAGUGAAAAGAGGUGUCCAGACAUACUCGGCCAUGAAGGUGCACAGCAGGUUACUCACAAGGGCUGAAAAGCAGAAACAACCAGGUGUCCAUCACCGAUAAAUGAGGAACCAAAAUGUGGUCUAUCCACACAAUGGCUUAUUAUUCGGCCACAAAAAGAAACCAAGUACACGUGCUCUGACAUGCCUGAAAAUACCAUGCAAAGUGAAAUAAGUUAGACACGAGGCCACAAUUGUGUGAUUCCAUUUAUAUGAAAUGUCCAGAACAGGGAAAACCUAUUUUAGACAACAGAGAC